GAUGGGCGGGGUGCGGACGGCUCCGCUAUGGCGGUUUAUUUUGCCUCUCGGACUCGGGCUUCCUGACACCGCCGGCGAACGGGAGCUUGCGGACCGGCGCGGUCGCCAUGUACCCGCCGCCGGCGCCGGCGCCUCACCGGGACUUCAUCUCGGUGACUCUGAGCCUCGGCGAGAGCUACGACAACAGCAAGAGCCGGCGGCGGCGCUCGUGUUGGAGAAAAUGGAAGCAGCUGUCGAGAUUACAGCAGAACAUGAUUAUCUUUCUCUUGGCCUUUCUGAUUCUCUGUGGAUUCCUGUCCUACAUCCAUAUGGCAGACCAGUGGAAAGCUCUGAGUGGCAAGCCCACAGAAGAGCGGAAGAUGAUGCCAGAAGUCCCUGGACUGAAGCCAGCAAACCCUCCUGUCUUACCAGCACCUCAGAAGGCAGAUGCCAGCCCAGCGUUUUCCAAGAUGUUGCCUCAGAGGCCUCGAAAGCAUUUCCGGCGGGGGCCUCCCCACCUGCAGAUCAGAGCCCCCAACACGGACUCCAAGGCUGGGACACAGGGUGACACUAAGGAGCGGGCAGCAGCCCCGGGGGAUGCUCAUCAGGAAGAGAACACACAGCGGACCGUCAUCAGCUGGCGGGGUGCAGUGAUCGAGCCCGAGCAGGGCACUGGACUCCCUUUGAGAAGAGCAGAGGCCCCUGCCAAGCCUUCUCCACUGGUUACCAGGAUGCAGAAAGAACCGGCACUCCUAAACGAGCGCCAGGAAGGGGUGAUUGAGGCCUUUCGACAUGCGUGGAAGGGGUACCGCCAGUUUGCUUGGGGCCACGACGAGCUCAGGCCUGUGUCCAAGUCCUUCAGCGAGUGGUUCGGCCUGGGCCUCACUCUGAUCGACGCCCUGGACACCAUGUGGAUUUUGGGUCUGAAGCAAGAAUUUGAAGAAGCCAGAAUGUGGGUGUCACAGAAGUUAAACUUUAAGAAAGACGUGGAUGUGAACCUGUUUGAGAGUACCAUCCGCAUCCUGGGCGGACUCCUGAGCACCUACCACCUGUCCGGGGACAGGCUUUUCCUGAGGAAGGCUAAAGAUUUUGGCAAUCGGCUAAUGCCGGCCUUCAUGACGCCCUCCAAGAUUCCAUACUCCGAUGUGAACAUCGGCACUGGAGUUGCCCACCCACCCCAGUGGACCUCAGACAGCACAGUGUCCGAGGUGACGAGCAUUCAGUUGGAGUUCCGCGAGCUCUCUCGUCUCACGGGGGUCAAGAAGUUCCAGGAGGCCGCGGAGGAGGUGACAAGGCACGUUCACCAUCUGUCUGGGAAGAAGGAUGGGCUGGUGCCCAUGUUCAUCAACACGCACAGCGGCUCCUUCACCCACCUGGGUGUGUUCACCUUGGGCGCCAGGGCUGACAGCUACUACGAGUACCUGCUGAAGCAGUGGAUCCAGGGCGGGAAGCAGGAGACACAGUUGCUGGAGGACUACCUUGCAGCCAUUGAGGGGAUAAAAACACACCUGGUGCGGCACUCGGAGCCCAACAAGCUCACCUUCAUAGGGGAGCUCACCCACGACCGCUUCAGUGCCAAGAUGGACCACCUCGUGUGCUUCCUGCCAGGGACGCUGGCUCUGGGCGUCCACCACGGCUUGCCUACUGACCACAUGGAGCUGGCUCGGGCACUCAUGGAAACCUGUUACCAGAUGAACCGACAGAUGGAGACAGGCCUAAGCCCUGAGAUCGUGCACUUCAACCUUUACCCUCCUACAGACAAUCUGGACGUGAAGGUCAAGCCAGCUGACAGGCACAACCUGCUGCGGCCCGAGACCGUUGAGAGCCUGUUCUACCUGUACCGCACCACAGGAGACCGCAAGUACCAGGACUGGGGCUGGGAGAUCCUGCAGAGCUUCAACAAGUACACACGGGCCAACUCUGACCCCAGAAGUGUGUGUGUGGAAGGGCCUGGCUGCAACGUGUUCUUGGACCUCAGCCUUAUGGCUCCUAGAUUCACUGAGGAAACCCUACAACCUCCCCACAUCGAGAGGGUAGCCAUGUUCCCCCACAGCCCUCCUGGGCCAGGAGUUCCAUAUACUGAACAGGCAGGACUGGGCGGCAGCUGCGGCCUGCUCAGGGAUUGGAUGUAAGUGGGUCCUGAGCAGCCAAGUAAAGUACAGCUUCCAUAUCUCGUCUCCAGCUCCCAAAUAUAUGUGCUCUGGAAGGGGUGGCCAAUGCUGAGGGCUGGGAACAUGGCCCUCCCGGGGGUUGCUGAGGGCCUGAGGCUCUAAUGAAGUUCUGUCCACCAAGCAGUGGGCUUUUUCAGGGUGUGGAGUGGCUUUCUGGGCAGGGAGGUGGGUCCCUGGGAAAGGCAAAUCUCCCCCUGCCCCCCGUUGCCCUCAAGUGCCAGCCUUGGAGUCAAGUCUGUGCUUUAUUGAACAUUCUGCAGCUUCAGCAGGCGCUGGGCAGGGGGCUCCUGCCCAGCCUCCAGGGACACACCCAGCCCCUUUGCUUGAGGUCCCCACAAUGCCCCAGCCACACAGUGGACCUAAACAGUGUGUCCAGGGCAGGACGGGCGGCCAGCAGCUCCUCACUCCUCAGGGUGUCCAGGACACUGCUGCCUACUCCGGGCUGCCUUCGCCCACUCGAGGAUGAGAGCAGCCUCCAGCCUGCGCACCUCCAGGACCGAGUUGGGGUCUUGUGGGUGGGAUGCCCUGAAGAGGGCACAGGGGUUGGGGGCACUCAGCUGGACAUGCAGACCCCAACCGUCAGGGUGAGCCUCACCCACACCCAGCUGUCAGCCUAGGUGGGACUGCCUGGCUGCACCUGAGGUCUAGGUGGUGUGCUCCCCCGUGGAUGGUGACAGCAAUGACCGACGCGCUCACGUUCCUCAGAAUCUGUCGUUGGUGGGAGGAUCUCCUGUCAGGCUCGCAGCUUGUGCUGUGGGCCAUAAGCAGCCCCCCUCAGCCUUCCCACCCAGCUGUCAGCAUGGGCUCCAGCGGCCCCAUUGGAGAGGGAAGGUGAAGGUCAGCGAGCCAGAUGUCUAUCCAUUUGAGUAAUCAGGAAACAGAAACCAGAAAGUGGGAACAGUAGGGACCGGAGCAGAAGUGGAGGGUGGAACUGAGGGGGCCUCGGGGCGAAGCUGGCUCUUUGAGGUUCUGGUAGGCUGAUAGGGAGGCCCCGUUGAUACCACUCAGCAAAACCAGUGGCCCCGGCACCAAAAGUUCUCAAGGGGGUCCACAGCUGCCCAGACCAGGACUCACCCCGCCCCCUGCCCAGGGGUCUAGGUCACCAUUGGAGAAGAUGAUGUUGCUGGUGGCUCUGAGGUCUGAAAGACACCAAGUGGUGGCAAAGGACCCAGUGUGGCCCUUGGAGCUGUGAACUGUGGCAAGUGCCGAUUCAGGAUGCCGCCCAGCAACCCCACCCCCAGCCCUUACCACCGCCCCAGAAGCUGGUCUGCAGCCAGUCCGGCCGAGGCCACACGCCCCACUUAUUCAGGCAGUACUGUUGGCGGAGCGUGGCGGUGAACGGAAGGGCAGGGAACAUGUCCGUCACGUUGUUGCUGUCAAAGGUCAGGUUGAUCUCGGUGCAGGCCUGGAUGCCCCGCCCCAAGGUCAGGCAGGCAGGGGGAGUACCCACACCCACAUCCAGCCACUCAUGCUGCCCACACCCCACACCUGAUAGUCCCAGGCCAUGGCAUCAGGGCCAGUGCCACAGCCAGUGGGGUCCGCACAGCUGUGGUACAGCUGGUAGAUGUCAUAGCAGUGCGCUGUGCCCGAGGAGUUGUAGACCAGCCCUGGGAGGAGGGAUGCUGGGAUCAGCAGUGGACACAAAUCCUGCAUGCUCAGGUUACCAACCCACCCCCCUUGGGAGGGCCCUGCAGGUGGGGAGUCCCUGGGCUCUGCUUGGGGAUCUGCCGUCAGCUCUGCCCCUGGCUACUGAAGGCAGUCCAGUGUCACCUGACCUUCCCCACUGGCAGGGUGGGGCAUGCUGACCUCCAUGCCUGGGGACCCCAGGGGCCCCACUAAACAGCACCUCCUGUGGGGCCCUCGUUGCCACCCUACAGAGCUUCUGCCCAGCCCUCCUGGCACGGGUUCUGUUUCUGUCCUUCAGCUGCGGUUCAUAGCUUUCCUGCCGCAGCCCAGGUGGUCACGAGGCAGAGCCCCAGUCCAGGGCUGCAAGUCCUUGCUCUGCCCAGCCCCAGACCAGCAGUUGGGUCUCCAUACUUGCCCUAUGUAAAGCUGAGGGUCAGACUCACCUGUCAGUGCCCGCAGACCCACGAUCCUCUGGGCCUCCCUCAGCAGCCGGGCACAGCCAACCUGGGAUAUAGGGGCAGCAGAGCAUCUCAGAGGAGUCCCCCGUCCACAGCCCAACCUUCAUGGUCCCAGGAUGAGGGUCAGUCAGGGCUAUGGGGAUGAACUGACCUGAGUAGGAGCAAGGCCCCGGGGCUGGGCUGGCCCCAACCACCCAGGGAAGCUGGGCUGGCCUUGCACCUAGAAGAGGCGCCUCACCUUGACAGGGUUGGCAGGCAGGUACCCCAUGAAGUCAGUGGGGUACGGGUAGUCCAUCAUGGCCAGCAGAGUGAAGGCGUUGCGUGCAAACACAAAGAGCUGAGUCAGGUCCUUUGUGUCCAAGAGUGGCUGGCAGGUGCCAAACUCCUGGCUGACCCUGUCACGGGCUACAGGGAAGGGGCAGAGGGAGGCUGCUGGAAGGUUUGGUGGGGCAUGGGCCAUGGGGGCUGUAGCGGGAGGGGGCAGAGGGGGCAGGUAGGGCAGUGGCCUCGUGGCCCCUCACCUCCCUGUAGGAACAGGUCCCUGAUCUGCUGGAAGGCCUCCCGCACGCCCUGGACACACCUUGGACUCUGGCUGUGGAAGGUCUGGAGAACAGACUGCAGUCAUUGAAGUGGCUGGCCCAGGCUGGCCCAGGACCCCCAGGCCCUCACUCACCGCUGUGACGUCCCGGAAGAACUGGUUGGAGGUACCAAGGCCCGCGACAGCCAGGACGGGUGCGCUGGCUGCCAGCGCCCCUGCCACCAGGUGGGGGUACUUCAUCCUCAUGUAGGCGCUGAGCAUCCCCCCGUAGCUGGGCAGGCACAGGUUAGGGUGCUCAGCCUGUGCUCGGCCGCAGCCCUGCCCUGGCCUCUGACUGUCCUCCCGCCCCCCACACCCACUUCCUCUGCUUUCCUUGCAGACCACAGGUGUUAAAAGAAGGAACUGAAACUUCCGUGACCACCAGUUCUGACCCUGGCCUCAGUCAGGCACAGCCUUCACUGGGAAAAGGUCCCUGGUGGACAUCCCUCUCCUCGGCUCAGCCUGGGGACUGGCUCAGGACCAGUGGGAGGGCUUCCUGGAGCAGGCAGCACAAGUUUCUGCCGCAGGGUCUGGAUCAGCACGGCAUAGUCGGCCAGCGCCUGCUCCACGGUCAGCAGCUCGGUGUACCCGGGCUGCAUGGACUUCUCCCCAAACGGGAGCGACUUCCCGUAGUAGCGCUGUGGUGAGGAAGGAAGGCUGACCUGGCUGCCCCCUGUGCCCAGCCGCCGUCUGGGGACCCCUGGAGCUGGCCGGCUGGCCAGGUGUGUGCAUCUGCUGCAGAUCUGCAGGACAGAGAGAGGGGGGUACCAGGUCAGACAGAGAUCCUGGGACCGUGCCAGCCCCUGACCACUAUCCACUCUGCCUGCUCAGACCUCAGAGCUGCUGGCACUGGGGGGACACUGUUCCCAAAUCAGUCCAGAGCUCCACUCCAUGCCUGCUGCACCUGCCUUAGGGCCCUGCUGGUCUCUGUAGUAAACCCAUAAGGAUGUACUCUUAGUGAUGGUGAAGCUGGGAUUCAGUGUGAUGCAUGGUCACUGUUAUCUAUUUCACAAGCUACUUCAGCACCCCAACAGAACAACCUCCUUAUGCAUUAGUGUCCAGCCCCCUCCAAGCCUGGCAGCAUCCUCUGCUCUCCCUGGGAGCUGAGUCCAGAUGUGUCACUGGGAAGACUCAGCAGUGCCCAGAGGUGACUACACCCCUGCUGUGUAAGUCCCUGCUUUUCCUGGCUGAUCCACUGUAGAUGUCACCACAUUGUGUGUGUCCAUUCACCUGUCAACAGACCCUUGAGUUGCUCCACAUCUUUGCUUUUGUGAAUAAACUGCAAUAAAUACAGGUGUACAAUA